AACGUAGGACACAAGCGUUAUCCGGAGUUACUGGGCGUAAAGGGCGUGUAGGCGGAGAUGUAAGUCUAUUCUGAAAGCUCCUGGCUAAACUGGGAGAGGCGAAUGGAGACUGCAUAUCUAGAGUGAGGAAGAGGAAAGUGGAAUUCCGCGUGUAGUGGUGAAAUGCGUAGAGAUGCGGAGGAACACCAGUGGCGAAGGCGACUACCUGGCCUGUUCUUGACGCUGAGGCGCGAAAGCUAGGGGAGCAAACGGGG
rnacentral:rRNA from 1 species